UCAUCCAAGGAAUGCCACUGAGCUGACUGCAGAGGCCAUCAGAGGCGGGCCUGUCCAAGCUGCCCAGCGCCAUUCAGGACAAGUGAAGCCUUCCCACUUGCUCCUGACUCAGGCUGCAGUAUCUCUGGGCUGGGCUGUCUCCUGUUCCACAGGUCCUGGGCUGAUAGCCAGACUGACUUCCUGACUGGCAUUCCUGCCUCCAGCCCCAGCUCACUGCAGUCCACCCCCACAUCAGCCGGAGAGCCUUCCUCAAAGUGACUAGAAGAGCACACAUCGACACUGAAGGUAGAGUGGGGAGCUUGGAAGAACCUGGAAGACACCAUUGCACCCUGAUUCAACACACCCUGAGGGCCGUCCCACUCUAGACUUUCUGCAUUGUGAGAUAAUACACUUCUGUUAUUCACAGCUGAAAGCUUCUUGGCCCAUACAGAGAGGUACAUAGAAGGAUGAGAAGAGCUCAAAGGAAAGACUUGGAGAACCCGGAUUUUGUCCCAGCUUUGUUCCCACUGUGGUGCACCCCCGGGCAAGGUGCUGCCUCUCACUGGCACUUAGCUCCCGAGGUUGAGAGAAAUAUUUCUGGGAGCCAAGCGCCAGGACCCCCCUUCCUUUCCAAUCAUAGAUAAACUGGUGGCCCAGGAGGACAUAAGGACCACUGGAGUCCGUGUCAGCAGACUUCUGUGACCUUUGACAAGCUGCCUAACCUCACUGAGACUUGGUUUUCCCAUCCAGGAAAUGGGGAUAAUGUAUACCUUCUGGACCAUGUCCUAGGCUGUUGGGGCCUCUGGAGAUUACAUAAAUGUCAAAGUGCUCCUAAGAGUGUCAGGGAGGUGAGGAUGAUCCCAGCCUCAACUAUCUACAUUUUAAAUCAUGAAUCAGCUGGUGUUUCUUGGGCCCUUGCCACGUGCCCACACGGCAUCGAAGCUGAGACGCACAGGGAUACAUCCAAGGACUUCGGGCUUCAGGUUUCUGGGCCUUUUUCUUUCUAAAAAUCCCAAAUAUCACGAUUCUUAGAUGUCAUUGCUGUAACCUCCUGAAUGUUUCCCGAGGACCGAGAGAAGUCAAAGAACGGAAGGAGAGGAUGUGAAACGAGGCAGAGGGCAGAGUAGGCCGUCACUGGGGGCCCACUGUGUGCCGGGUACUGUGCACGUGUGACGUCCUCCAAUCCUCAAGAUGAUUCCCAGAAGACUGGAGUCGGUAGCCCAGGCCACAGACGAGGAAACUGAGGCUCAGCAAGGGAAGCAGCACGUGGGGCAGACCCUGUCGAUCCCGGCUCUGAAGCCUUGGCUGGUACAAGUACCCAAAGAAGAUGGCAGGAUCCAAGAACUCUGGAUCUGAAGGAGCGCAGCAAGGCAAUUAGCCUAAUGCGUGCAUUUCACAGACAGGGAUGCUGAGGCCCAGAGAGGACAAGGAAUUGCCCAGAUCACAGAGCAAGUGAGGCACAGAUUGGCUAAAACGCAGGCCUCCUGACUCCCAGGACCUGCCAAGCUCAAGGCUUGGCCUUGAAGAGAGCGAAGAGCUGCCCAAGGAUCCAGCCCACAGUCACUGCGCAGGAAAUGUGUGUCCAGUGCAACGUUUCCAUUGAACUUGGAGUUCAGGCCUGCCGGUCACAGGAGGAAGGAAGAACCUAAAGACAGUAGGUAAAGCAUCGGGAA
ensembl:lncRNA